rnacentral:rRNA from 1 species
GACGAACGCUGGCGGCGUGCUUAACACAUGCAAGUCGAACGGGAUUUCGUAAACAGACACCUCGGUGGAAGAUUACUAAUGAGAGUGGCGAACGGGUGAGUAACGCGUGAGCAACCUGCCUAUGACAGUGGGAUAGCCUCGGGAAACCGGGAUUAAUACCGCAUAAAAUCGUAGAAACACAUGUUUUAACGGUCAAAGAUUUAUCGGUCAUAGAUGGGCUCGCGUCUGAUUAGCUAGUUGGUGAGAUAACAGCCCACCAAGGCGACGAUCAGUAGCCGGUCUGAGAGGAUGAACGGCCACAUUGGAACUGAGACACGGUCCAAACUCCUACGGGAGGCAGCAGUGGGGAAUAUUGCACAAUGGGGGAAACCCUGAUGCAGCGACGCCGCGUGAACGAAGAAGGUAUUCGUAUCGUAAAGUUCUGUCCUAUGGGAAGAUAAUGACAGUACCAUAGAAGAAAGCUCCGGCUAAAUACGUG